rnacentral:pre_miRNA from 1 species
AGCCUUCUCUAUUUGUGCUGAGAUUUCGUCAAACACCAGACCAUAAGUGCUGAUGAGACUUCCAAGAUAAGUAAAGUG